rnacentral:tRNA from 1 species
GGUUGCUUGGUCUAGUGGUAUGAUUCUCGCUUAGGGUGCGAGAGGUCCCGGGUUCAAUUCCCGGAGCAGCCC